UACGUAGGGGGCGAGCGUUGUCCGGAUUCAUUGGGCGUAAAGCGCUUUAAGGCGGUUCGGUAAGUCGCGUGUGAAACCUCCAGGCUCAACCUGGAGACGCCACACGAUACUGCCGUGACUAGAGUCCGGUAGGGGACCACGGAAUUCCUGGUGUAGCGGUGAAAUGCGCAGAUAUCAGGAGGAACACCAGUGGCGAAGGCGGUGGUCUGGGCCGGUACUGACGCUGUAGAGCGAAAGCGUGGGGAGCGAACAGG
rnacentral:rRNA from 1 species